rnacentral:lncRNA from 1 species
CGUUGAAAGCAGCAGGACAAAAAAGCACUGCUACUACCACAAAGGAAGCUGGGCCACUUACCUUUGAAGAUGGCUUGCACACCUCAUCUUUAAGUCUUUCCCUAAGAAUGGAUGGUACGUCAAUGACCCCAUGAAGUUAAGAGACAGUUACUUUCAUAGCUGGGAUGACAGUGCCAACUGCUACUAGAAGGAGGAUGAGACACUUAGACCUCUGUAACAAAGUACAAGCUCUUCAGGCAAAUGUAAGCUACAGGACCAGGAAGCCAGAACUACAGACUGACGUGCCUUCUGCACCCUCCUUUCCAGCAUUCAGUUCACACACAGAGUGGCUGGCAGGUGAUGUGUGCAGUGUGCAGAAAGGUAGGUAGGGCCAGGACAUAAGUGAGCCACACUUGCCGGUCUGCUACUGCCUAGCCUACAGCCAGGCAGGGCUGGGCAGGAGCCAUCAGG